AGAACGAACGCUGGCGGCAGGCUUAACACAUGCAAGUCGAACGCUCGUAGCAAUACGGGAGUGGCAGACGGGUGAGUAACGCGUGGGAACAUACCCUCCGGUUCGGAAUAGCUCAGGGAAACUUGGAUUAAAUACCGGAUACGGCCGAGAGGCGAAAGAUUUAUCGCCGGAGGAUUGGCCCGCGUUCGAUUAGCUAGUUGGUGAGGUAACGGCUCACCAAGGCGAUGAUCGAUAGCUGGUCUGAGAGGAUGAUCAGCCACAUUGGGACUGAGACACGGCCCAAACUCCUACGGGAGGCAGCAGUGGGGAAUAUUGGACAAUGGGCGCAAAGCCUGAUCCAGCCAUGCCGCGUGAGUGAUGACGGCCUUAGGGUUGUAAAGCUCUUUCGCUCGGGACGAUAAUGACGGUACCGAGAUAAGAAGCCCGGCUAACUUCGCGCCAGCAGCCGC
rnacentral:rRNA from 1 species